rnacentral:rRNA from 1 species
UAGAGAUCAAGAAGAAUACCCAUUGCGAAAGCGNUCUGCUGGAACUUAACUGACGCUAAUGCGUGAAAGCGUGGGGAGCAAACAGGAUUAGAUACCCUGGUAGUNCACGCCCUAAACGAUGUAUACUAGUUGUUGCUUCGCUAGUCGAGGCAGUAAUGCACCUAACGGAUUAAGUAUACCGCCUGGGGAGUACGGUCGCAGGAUUAAAACUCAAAGGAAUAGACGGGGACCCGCACAAGCGGUGGAGCAUGUGGUUUAAUUCGAAGAUACGCGAAGAACCUUACCCGGACUUGAUAUCUAACAAAUCAUCCAGAGAUGGAAGAGUGUCUGCUUGCAGAAAUGUUAAGACAGGUGCUGCACGGCUGUCGUCAGCUCGUGUCGUGAGAUGUUGGGUUAAGUCCCGCAACGAGCGCAACCCACGUCAUUAGUUGCUAACGGUUCGGCCGAGCACUCUAAUGAGACUGCCUUCGCAAGGAGGAGGAAGGUGUGGACGACGUCAAGUCAUCAUGGCCCUUAUGUCCGGGGCGACACACGUGCUACAAUGGCGUAUACAAUGAGACGCAAUAUCGCGAGAUGGAGCAAAUCUAUAAAAUACGUCCCAGUUCGGAUUGGAGUCUGCAACUCGACUCCAUGAAGCCGGAAUCGCUAGUAAUCGUAGAUCAGCCAUGCUACGGUGAAUACGUUCCCGGGUCUUGUACUCACCGCCCGUCACACCAUGGGAGUUGAUUUCACU